CUCGCACCCUCGACUGCUGCCACGACUACGCCCAGGCCUGCCCAGUCAUCCCCUGUGUUGUAUCUCAGUGGAGUGCCUGGAGUGGCUGUGCAGAGCCUUGCAAGACAACCUAUCGUGUCAGGACGAGGCACAUCAUCCAGGAGCCCAGGAACGGGGCAGAAGCAUGCCCUGCUCUGGAGGAGAGGGCUGGCUGUGUAGAGUACUGGACUCGGCGAGGAACAGAGUGCCAACAGUCCCUGAUCCCGGCAUUAAUAACUAAGGGAGGGUUUGGAAAAGCGAGGAAGAAAAGAGCUGCAGCUGAUGGGAGUGAAAGGGCAGGGUACUGCGUGGAGUUCCAGCUCGUGGCCCUGACGCCAGGCUGCCUGCACAGGCAGCACUCGCACGCCGGCUGGACCCGCUACCUCAGGGAGGGCCACAGAGUCUGCGUGGAGUGCCAGCACCCAGCCCUGCAGCCCCCGAGGCAGCGCUGCUACGGUGAUGGCGCUGGCAGCCAGCAGAAUCAGUUGUUGCACUGGCAGGCGGUGGGGAACCAUCAAUGCAAGGGAACCUGGAGGAGAAUUCGCCAGCUGGACACUUGUUCCUGCCCUUCUGUUCACAGCUUCUUGUUCAUCUGACUUCUCUUGGCAGUCCCAGCAAGCCCCAGUGUGCAGCAGCAGCAGGGGUCAAAGCAAGGGGUCCCAGCCAAAGCAAGGACUUCUCCAUGUCAUGUCAGAGGCUUUGCUUUCACUGCCUUCCAGAGGUUGCUGACUGUACAGGGGUACCUGGAAUCCUCUCUGUGUGUGUGUUCUUCUUGAUUUCUAAGGAAAUCAUGCUGGCUAGGAAGUGCUUUCUUUUUUCCUUGAGAGAAUCUUGUCUGACCUUGAUGACUUCUUGAAAUUCCUCCUUUCUGGAAAGGAAUGAGAAUUUACCAAAUAACAAAUCAAACAAAAAAGGCCAUAAGAAGCAGGAUUUAAUUACUUUUUUUAAAGUCUCAGUGAAGAAGAAGCAAUGCAAAAUAAAUUAAUGCAUGUGCCUUCUUUUUGUGGCAACAGCACUUUGUGGAUAUUCCUGCUUGUGCAUCUAUUCCCUCUAUUUUCAUCCUCCCUGGUCUCAUAAUUUCGUUUGGCCCUCAGUCUUACAGAGGGUUGAUCUUGUGCUGCUGAGGUAAUGAUAGAACUUAGAAAUGUGCUUGUCAAAUCUGUGAGAAUAGGGACAAGCUGGCCCUUGGACUUCAGCCUCAAGGAACAUCUCUGAGUUGGCCCAAAAUGCAAUGCAAGUCCUGGGGCUCUAAAUAGGAAGUCAGCUCAGCUGUGCCAGGUGGACUACACCCUUGUGUUUUUUACUGGAAAUGUUUUGAAAUAUUUUCCUUAUA